rnacentral:rRNA from 1 species
CCUAGGGUGGCAGCAGUGAGGAAUAUUGGUCAAUGGCCGAGAGGCUGAACCAGCCAAGUCGCGUGAGGGAAGACGGCCCUACGGGUUGUAAACCUCUUUUGUCGGGGAGCAAAGCGAGUCACGUGUGACUCAUUGAGAGUACCCGAAGAAAAAGCAUCGGCUAAAUCCGUGCCAGCGGCCGCGGUAAUCCGGAGGAUUCGAGCGUUAUCCGGAUUUAUUGGGUGUAAAGGGUGCGUAGGCUGUUGGAUAAGUUAGAGGUUAAAUGUCGGGGCUUACCCCCGUGCCUGCCUCUGAUACUGUUCGACUAGAGAGCGGAUGCAGCAGGCGGAAUGAGUAGUGUAGCGGUGAAAUGCUUAGAUAUUACUCAGAACACCGAUUGCGCAGGCAGCUUGCUAAUCCGCAUCUGACGCUGAUGCACGAAAGCGUGGGUAGCGAACAGGAUUAGAUACCCCAGUAGUC